GGAUGUCAAAAGAUCGGCCCAGCUCAGGGAGCAGUUUGCCCUACUAGCUCCUCGGACAGCUGUAAAGAAGAGUCUCUGGCUCUUUAGAAUACUGUAAGUACUACUUCGUAGCUAUUAAGUAAUCUUUUUCCUAUUCUAUUUUCUUUCUCUUAGAUGCCACCUAUAGAAAAGUCAGAGGGUCCAGUAAGUUUCUUUCCUUCUUCCCACCUCAUCUGCAAUAUAUAUAUAUAGAGAGAGAAAUAGAUACAUACAUACAUGCAUAAAUACACAUAUGUGAGUUAACCAGCAGAACUGUAGAAUUAAUAUUGUGGACCCAGCUCUAUGCUAGGUUACACUGAUAACCUGGGUAGGAAUGAUAUCAUCCUAUAUAAUUUCAUUCCUGAGAUGAUUUUAUCGUUGAGGAGCUAAUGUGAGCACAUUUGAAAUAACUUUAGAAAAUAAUAAGUGCUGUUUUGUGUGAAUCAUAAGUAGUAGUUUUAGGAAGGGAACCCACAAGGAUUUGAAGUUGAUAGAAUAAACUUAAGGAAGUGGGUUUGCUUUUUCUCUUUAAGCCAAGAUAGGAUUAAUAUUGCAGCCAUCUGGAUAGUCCAGUUGGUUUAUUUUAAUUUCAUUUGUUUUUUACCUCUUUUGGAGCCAUGGAAAGAGAUGAAAGGGAUAGAGCAUAGCCAUUGUGUUUGGCUAUUUGCGAAGGUUGGCAAAUUAGUGAUUGCUAAAUCUCAUAAGCUUGAGUAUUUUAAAGUUCAGAGAUUGAGGGCAUAAAUCUAAUACUUCGGCUCCUUCCACAAUUUUACUACAUUUCUGCCCAAGAACAGAUGACCAUGGAUAAUGCAUAUCGUAGAUACUUUUUAAGUUUGGAACCUUUUUGCCAAGAGGGUAGUGGAGAAGUGAAGUCAAAACCUUGACCUUCCUUGCCUACUUUAUGCUGUAGUUUAUAUACCUUCUUUCCUCCCACCUUUCGUAAAGCUAAAAGAAGCUUAGCCUCCUUAAUGUUUUCCAGCUGACAAAAUAUUGUUUAACAUAACAUUCGAAACUUUUUUUCUGGUGCACAUUCAUGCAUCACAGCAGGAGCAACAAGAACCAUAUAAGUGAACUGGCUUCACUUAUAGCCCGUUUUAAUUCAUAUCCAUAUUUCCUCAGGGCUUGUUUCCAUGCCUCCCAGCCCCACUCCAUAUGCUUAACAACAUUGUCUGGCUGACUGAGGGUUAUAUACAUCAUGGUCUUGAACCUUCUUGGAAACAUGGUCUGUGCCAUUGUUUCUCAAACCCAAGUAAUGCUUCAUGAUGAAACACCUUCUAAAGGAACAAAAUUUUCUGAGAUCCUAAAAAAAUGUGUUUUGAGGAACACUGACUUAACAAAGAUAUUUGAAAUGUAAAUAUGUUUUCCAAUUUCACGUUGUCUUUGUCAAAGAUGUGUUUUAUAUAACUUAUGUAGAACUUGGGGAUCCAUUAGAAUAUAUUCACAAAUCCCCAGGGUUAUCACCCCAAUUUGAGAAACCCUGGUCUAUGCUUAUGAAAUCUUCUAUUGGUAAUUAAAUUGUCAUUCAUUGUCAACAUACAAUUAUAAUUAUUAUUGGAAUUUGUUUUAAAUGAAUGAAUUUGGAGGUGAUUCUGUACCUUAAGUCAAGAGGAAGGAUGGCUUGAUUUUAGGUGGAUUGAUUAUACUAGAUAGCAUCCAAAGGUGAAUCUUGAAGCUGUAUUUAAAUUCAUUGCUUGAAAUAAUUUCCACCCUUAAGAAAAAUCUCUAGCAAUUGUAAAAAGGGAUGCUCUGGAAAUGUGGGCAUCUUCAAAAUAGAGAUAAUUCUUGUGUUAGUUCAACAAAUAUUAUUGUACCAGGUGCUGGAAUAAAUAGCAAAACCAAAGACAGGAUUUAUAUCAAGGAAUUUGCUUUCUUAUGGAGGAUGCAGAAGGAAAUCAUUAUGGUUUUGGGCAGAAAUGCUUAGACUUUAGUCCUGGCUCUGAGUUUGGUUCAGAUCACCAUCAAUCUGACCAUCUCGAGACUGCUAGUGAAAUAAGAUAGGGGCUUAUAUCAAAUACCUAAAUCCCUGAAAAUGACAUUUUGUGAUUUGGAAAAUUUUCAAAAGUCUAAUGAAGGAAACUUUUUUGGCAUUUCUUUAAAUGAUUAUUGUCAUUUCUUUUCUGACUUUUCCCUUUAUAAAACCUUAACAUGUAGGAUUGGAGGAAGUUUUCUGACCAUUUUCUCAUAUCCUCUUUCAGCUUUAUCUUUCUGUAACUUCCAUUUCUCUAGCCACCUCCCUAAAUUACAGAAGACUGUGAGACCCAGGGCUGCUGUGAUUAGGCAUUCAUAAUUUCUUUUCAGGGUGUUUGUGCCCUGAUUAUCAAAUGUACAGCUUGAAGGGAGUUCAUGUCUUAAAGUAAUGAAUUAAGAGUUGACCUUUGUUGACUGCUAAAAUAUUCUUAUAUGUGAAAGCAUCCUGGAAAAAUACGUUACCAGCUUAAAGAGAAAGAAACUAAUGAUUAUAUCUGAACUGAGCUAAUGCCUCUUCUCUUCCCCCAAACCUUAUCAGUUUGGAUGGCAAAGAGUAAUGAUGUGUCAGUUAAACAGAGCUAAUGCCUUCCUCUGCCUUGUCUUAAAGACUGGAUUGGGAGAAAAUUGAUAUUCUCACUACCAUAUUUUGGGCUGUAGGCAAGUAGCAUUUUACACAGGUUUCCUUCAAAAAUCCAACUCAAGUUGGAGCUCAUGUAUUUAAGACAUAGCUGGCCUGCUGAAUUUAACAAGUUAAACUUCAGUGGCCAUGUACAGUUAUAUAUCACUAUAUAUAUGUGUAUUAGGCUGUCGAGUUGGUCAUGUUUUUGUUGGUGACUUAGGCUUUACUUGAUAGCUCUUCCUUGACCUUUCCAAAUUGAGUACUGAUACAUGGAGCUUGGGCUUCUUCUGCAUCUUAUACAAAUGAGUUUGGUAAAGAAGCCUCUCCUUUACUGUUUUGAUGUUUAUAUUAGAAAUAACUUUUGAUUAUUUUUUUUCAUGUUAGGAUGAGAAACUGAAACAAAAUGUAAAUUUGACCGGUGCUAGACUUCUUAAAUUAUGGGUAGACUUAAAGUAUUAUUUUCCUUAACCAAUUAGAAUGCUAGUCUUCUAGUGUUCCCGGAAACAUGAGAGGUUAUGCAGUAGACCCAAGCAAUACCCUCUUAUUACAUAAUCAAGUGCGUAUAAGAAUUUAAAAAUAGGGAUAUGACUGGAACAUCACUGUACUUUACCAGGUCCCAUUAUAAAAUUAUCUAUGUUACUUUACCCAUAGCUUUGAAAACUAGUGGCAUAGUAUAUUUUAUAGUAUGCUGUUAGUGUGAUUGGCAUUGAACAGUGAUGGGAUAUAAUCACUCUACAAUCUAUAUGUUAUUAAAGUUUUCCAGCCUUAUAGAUCUCCCUUGACUGAAAAUUAGCUACUAACUUACGACUUAUUUUUUACAGCAGAUUGACUAGGUCUUUCCAGGAAAUCUGUUGAUGUACAAAAACAAAGUUUAAUUGCUAAUGUUUUUUUAAAAAAUAACUUUUUGAUAUUACGGAUACCUGGUUAUUUGGGCCUUGUAUAUUUUAACAUCAAAAUUACCUAUUAUAAAUCCAUAUAAACAGAAAAGAAAGAGAGUAAGUCUUUAGAUCAGAUCUGCAAACAAUGAUGGUACGUACUGUAGAAAAAUCUGGAACAUAGACUUACCAGUUCUUAGGUUCCAUUUUGCUUGCUUUUUAAAAACUGUGUCUUAUAAGUCUUCAGCAACUGGUUGGGAGAUUUUUAGAAAAAAUAACCUUUUAAUGUUAGAACAGUGUAGAGAUUUACAGAAUGAUUCUGAAGAUAGAGUUUCUGUGUACUUCACACCCAGUUUUUCCCAGUGUUAACAUUUUACAUUAGUUUGGUACAUUUGUCACAACAAACCAAUAUUGAUACAUUAUUAUUAACUAGAGUCCAUAUUUUAUUCAGAUUUCCUUAGUUUUUCCUUAAUGUUCUUUUUGUGUUCCAGGAUCCCAUUGAAGAUACCACGCUGCAUGUGUCCUUAGUAGUCAUGUCUCCUUAGGCUCCUCUUGGACAUUCUGAGCAUGUGAGACCUGAGGACUGCAAACAGCUAUAAGAGGCUCCAAAUUAAUCAUAUCUUUCCCUUUGAGAAUCUGGCCAAGCUCCAGCUAAUCUACUUGGAUGGGUUGCCAGCUAUCUGGAGAAAAAGAUCUUCCUCAGAAGAAUAGGCUUGUUGUUUUACAGUGUUAGUGAUCCAUUCCCUUUGACGAUCCCUAGGUGGAGAUGGGGCAUGAGGAUCCUCCAGGGGAAAAGCUCACUACCACUGGGCAACAACCCUAGGUCAGGAGGUUCUGUCAAGAUACUUUCCUGGUCCCAGAUAGGAAGAUAAAGUCUCAAAAACAACCACCACACGUCAAGCUCUUCAUUGUUCCUAUCUGCCAAAUCAUUAUACUUCCUACAAGCAGUGCAGAGAGCUGAGUCUUCAGCAGGUCCAAGAAAUUUGAACACACUGAAGGAAGUCAGCCUUCCCACCUGAAGAUCAACAUGCCUGGCACUCUAGCACUUGAGGAUAGCUGAAUGAAUGUGUAUUUCUUUGUCUCUUUCUUUCUUGUCUUUGCUCUUUGUUCUCUAUCUAAAGUGUGUCUUACCCAUUUCCAUGUUUCUCUUGCUAAUUUCUUUCGUGUGUGCCUUUGCCUCAUUUUCUCUUUUUGUUCACAAGAGUGGUCUGUGUCUUGUCUUAGACAUAUCUCUCAUUUUUCAUUUUGUUGCUAUUUCUCUUUGCUCUCCUAGAUGUGGCUCUUCUUUCACGCUUUAUUUCAUGUCUCCUUUUUGGGUCACAUGCUGUGUGCUUUUUGUCCUUUUCUUGUUCUGUCUACCUCUCCUUUCUCUGCCUACCUCUCUUUUCUCUUUGUGAACUGUGAUUAUUUGUUACCCCUUCCCCUUCUCGUUCGUUUUAAAUUUCACCUUUUUUCUGAGUCUGGCCUCCUUUCUGCUGUUUCUACUUUUUAUCUCACAUUUCUCAUUUCUGCAUUUCCUUUCUGCCUCUCUUGGGCUAUUCUCUCUCUCCUCCCCUGCGUGCCUCAGCAUCUCUUGCUGUUUGUGAUUUUCUAUUUCAGUAUUAAUCUCUGUUGGCUUGUAUUUGUUCUCUGCUUCUUCCCUUUCUACUCACCUUUGAGUAUUUCAGCCUCUUCAUGAAUCUAUCUCCCUCUCUUUGAUUUCAUGUAAUCUCUCCUUAAAUAUUUCUUUGCAUAUGUGGGCAAGUGUACGUGUGUGUGUGUCAUGUGUGGCAGAGGGGCUUCCUAACCCCUGCCUGAUAGGUGCAGAACGUCGGCUAUCAGAGCAAGCAUUGUGGAGCGGUUCCUUAUGCCAGGCUGCCAUGUGAGAUGAUCCAAGACCAAAACAAGGCCCUAGACUGCAGUAAAACCCAGAACUCAAGUAGGGCAGAAGGUGGAAGGCUCAUAUGGAUAGAAGGCCCAAAGUAUAAGACAGAUGGUUUGAGACUUGAGACCCGAGGACUAAGAUGGAAAGCCCAUGUUCCAAGAUAGAUAGAAGCCUCAGGCCUGAAACCAACAAAAGCCUCAAGAGCCAAGAAAACAGAGGGUGGCCUGAAUUGGACCGAAGGCCUGAGUUGGAUGGAAGUCUCAAGGCUUGAGUUAGAAGUCUUAAGACCUGGGACAGGACACAUGGAAGGCCUAAGAACUGAGACUUGUGACACAAGGCCAACGACCUAAGAUUAGCCCAGGGUUGUAGCUGGAAGACCUACAACCCAAGGAUGGAAGGCCCCUGUCACAAAGCCUACCUAGAUGGAUAGAGGACCCAAGCGAAAAAGUUUCUGGCAUCACUACCACUACUGAUUAAACAAGAAUAAGAGAACAUUUUAUCAUCAUCUGCUUUAUUCACAUAAAUGAAGUUGUGAUGAAUAAAUCUGCUUUUAUGCAGACACAAGGAAUUAAGUGGCUUCGUCAUUGUCCUUCUACCUCAAAGAUAAUUUAUUCCAAAAGCUAAGAUAAAUGGAAGACUCUUGAACUUGUGAACUGAUGUGAAAUGCAGAAUCUCUUUUGAGUCUUUGCUGUUUGGAAGAUUGAAAAAUAUUGUUCAGCAUGGGUGACCACCAGAAAGUAAUCUUAAGCCAUCUAGAUGUCACAAUUGAAACAAACUGGGGAGUUGGUUGCUAUUGUAAAAUAAAA
ensembl:lncRNA XIST X inactive specific transcript